GCCGGAUGUGGUGGUGUGCACCUGUAAUCUCAGCUACUCAGGAGGCUGAGGCAGGAGAAUCACUUGAACCCGGGAGACGGGGGUUACAGUGAGCCAAGAUCAUGCCACUGCAUUCCAGCCUGGGUGACAAAGUGAUACUCUGUCUCAA
rnacentral:SRP_RNA from 1 species